GGCGAGUGGCGAACGGGUGAGUAAUGCAUCGGAACGUGCCCAUCGAUGGGGGAUAACUGCGCGAAAGCGUUGCUAAUACCGCAUACGACCUACGGGUGAAAGCAGGGGACCGCAAGGCCUUGCGUCGAUGGAGCGGCCGAUGCCGGAUUAGCUAGUUGGUGAGGUAAAGGCUCACCAAGGCGACGAUCCGUAGCUGGUCUGAGAGGACGACCCAGCCACACUGGGACUGAGACACGGCCCAGACUCCUACGGGAGGCAGCAGUGGGGAAUCUUGGACAAUGGGCGAAAGCCUGAUCCAGCAAUGCCGCGUGUGGGAAGAAGGCCUUCGGGUUGUAAACCACUUUUGGCGGGAAAGAAAUGGUCUGUGCUAAUACCACGGAUUGAUGACGGUACCCGCAGAAUAAGCACCGGCUAACUACGUG
rnacentral:rRNA from 1 species